UUGAACGCUGGCGGCAUGCCUUACACAUGCAAGUCGCACGGCAGCACGGGUGCUUGCACCUGGUGGCGAGUGGCGAACGGGUGAGUAAUACAUCGGAACAUGUCCUAUAGUGGGGGAUAGCCCGGCGAAAGCCGGAUUAAUACCGCAUACGAUCUACGGAUGAAAGCGGGGGACCUUCGGGCCUCGCGCUAUAGGGUUGGCCGAUGGCUGAUUAGCUAGUUGGUGGGGUAAAGGCCUACCAAGGCGACGAUCAGUAGAUGGUCUGAGAGGACGACCAGCCACACUGGGACUGAGACACGGCCCAGACUCCUACGGGAGGCAGCAGUGGGGAAUUUUGGACAAUGGGCGAAAGCCUGAUCCAGCAAUGCCGCGUGUGUGAAGAAGGCCUUCGGGUUGUAAAGCACUUUUGUCCGGAAAGAAAUCCUUGGCUCUAAUACAGUCGGGGGAUGACGGUACCGGAAGAAUAAGCACCGGCUAACUACGUG
rnacentral:rRNA from 1 species